rnacentral:tRNA from 1 species
GGUUGGGUGUAAGAGUGAUUUAUUGUGUCGGCCUUGAAAGCCGAUGGGGGUUAAUAGCCCUCCGUGGGUUUGAAUCCCACUCCAACCGCCA